rnacentral:rRNA from 1 species
AUUGAACGCUGGCGGCAUGCUUUACACAUGCAAGUCGAACGGCAGCGGGGAGGUUCUUGCUUCUCUGCCGGCGAGUGGCGAACGGGUGAGUAAUACAUCGGAACGUGUCGAGAAGAGGGGGAUAACCACCCGAAAGGGUGGCUACUACCGCAUAAAUUCUGAUGCAGAAAGCUGGGGACCUAGGAAUAGGCCUAGCGCUUUUUGAGCGGCCUAUGUCGGAUUAGCUAGUUGGUGAGGUAAAGGCUCACCAAGGCGAAGAUCUGUAGCGGGUCUGAGAGGAGGAUCCGCCACACUGGGACUGAGACACGGCCCAGACUCCUACGGGAGGCAGCAGUGGGGAAUGUUGGACAAUGGGGGCAACCAUGAUCCAGCCAUGCCGCGUGUAUGAAGAAGGCCUUAGGGUUGUAAAGUACUUUUGUUAGGGAAGAAAAGUCAGCUGUGAAUAAUGGCUGAUACUGACGGUACCUAAAGAAUAAGCACCGGCUAACUACGUG